rnacentral:rRNA from 1 species
CUCGCUGUGAAGAUGCAGUGUACCCGCGGCAAGACGGAAAGACCCCGUGAACCUUUACUAUAGCUUGACACUGAACACUGGUCCUUGAUGUGUAGGAUAGGUGGGAGGCUUUGAAGCGUGGACGCCAGUCUGCGUGGAGCCGACCUUGAAAUACCACCCUUUAAUGGCUGGUGUUCUAACGUAGACCCGUAAUCCGGGUUGCGGACAGUGUCUGGUGGGUAGUUUGACUGGGGCGGUCUCCUCCUAAAGCGUAACGGAGG